UGAUUCAGUUCCCUGUCGCUGACGACUUCAGACUAGUACAGCUCAAGCAGACGGCCAACGCAGACGACACUUUUCUCAUUCUCCUGAUUCCCUUAUAGUCCAACAUGAGUGACAAACCUGACAUCUCUGAAGUCGCAACAUUCGACAAGGGCAAGUUGAAGAAGACGGAAACAUCAGAAAAGAACUCAUUACCAACGAAAGAGACUAUUGAACAGGAGAAAGCGGAACAAGGGAAGUGAUUUCCAUAGUUAUGUGAAGCCAGGAAACUGAUGACGUCACUAGUUGGCACGUGCCUCGCGGCUGGUCCAGCGGGUGACCAUCGGAGUCCCAUCAUCUCGUUGCCUCAUGCUUGAUACAUAUAUGCACAAACUGUGCGGCACAUGACAGUUAUUAUUUGUAAUUCCAUAACAUUGCUCACAUUUGUGAACUUUUAUUUUAUUUUCCACUUUAAUAAAAGCCAUUGCUGAACAGCCGUGCGGUUCGAAUGGUUACUUAGAA